rnacentral:rRNA from 1 species
GACGAACGCUGGCGGCGUGCUUAACACAUGCAAGUCGAACGGAAAGGCCCUGCUUUUGUGGGGUGCUCGAGUGGCGAACGGGUGAGUAACACGUGAGUAACCUGCCCUUGACUUUGGGAUAACUUCAGGAAACUGGGUCUAAUACCGGAUAGGAGCUCCUGCUGCAUGGGGGGGGUUGGAAAGUUUCGGCGGUUGGGGGUGGACUCGCGGCUUAUCAGCUUGUUGGUGGGGUAGUGGCUUACCAAGGCUUUGACGGGUAGCCGGCCUGGGAGGGUGACCGGCCACAUUGGGCCUGGGAUACGGCCCAGACUCCUACGGGAGGCAGCAGUGGGGAAUAUUGCACAAUGGGCGGAAGCCUGAUGCAGCAACGCCGCGUGCGGGAUGACGGCCUUCGGGUUGUAAACCGCUUUCGCCUGUGACGAAGCGUGAGUGACGGUAAUGGGUAAAGAAGCACCGGCUAACUACGUG